GACGAACGCUGGCGGCGGGCUUAACACAUGCAAGUCGAACGGAAGGGCCCUGCUUUUGUGGGGUUCUCGAGUGGCGAACGGGUGAGGAACAUGUGAGUAACCGGCCCUUGACUUUGGGAUAACUUCAGGAAACUGGGGCUAAUACCGGAUAGCAGCUGCUGCAGCAGGGUGGGGGUGGGAAAUUUUGGGCGGUUGGGGAUGGACGCGGGGCUUAUCAGCUGGUUGGUGGGGGAGUGGCUUACCGAGGCUUUGGCGGGUAGCCGGCAUGGGAGGGUGGCCGCGCACAUUGGGACUGCGGUAGGGAGCAGACUGGUACGGGAGGCAGCAGGGGGAAGUAUUGUCCAGUGGGGGGGAGCCUGAUGAGGAAGCGCUGGGUUUGGGAAGACGGUCUUCGGGUUAUGAACCGCAUUAGCCUGAGACGAAGCGGGAGUGACGGUAAUGGGAGAAGAAGCACCGGCUAACUACGUG
rnacentral:rRNA from 1 species